rnacentral:rRNA from 1 species
GACGAACGCUGGCGGCGUGCUUAACACAUGCAAGUCGAACGGAAAGGCCUGCUUUCCCUUGUGGAUUGCGGGUACUCGAGUGGCGAACGGGUGAGUAACACGUGAGUGAUCUGCCCCCAACUUGGGUAUAAGCCUGGGAAACUGGGUCUAAUUCCCGAUAGGACUGCAGGGUGGUGCCUGUGGUGGAAAACGAUUUUCUAGUGGUUGGGGAUGAGCUCGCGGCCUAUCAGCUUGUUGGUGGGGUAAUGGCCUACCAAGGCGGCGACGGGUAGCCGGCCUGAGAGGGUGGACGGCCACAUUGGGACUGAGAUACGGCCCAGACUCCUACGGGAGGCAGCAGGGGGGAAUAUUGCACAAUGGGCGGAAGCCUGAUGCAGCGACGCCGCGUGGGGGAUGACGGCCUUCGGGUUGUAAACUCCUUUCGACCGCGAGGAAGCCACCUGGUUGGAAGGGAGGUGACGGUAGUGGUAGAAGAAGCACCGGCUAACUACGUG